rnacentral:rRNA from 1 species
UACAGAGGGGGCAAGCGUUGUUCGGAAUUACUGGGCGUAAAGGGCGCGUAGGCGGCCUGUUAAGUCGAACGUGAAAUCCCCGGGCUCAACCCGGGAACUGCGUCCGAUACUGGCAGGCUUGAAUCCGGGAGAGGGAUGUGGAAUUCCAGGUGUAGCGGUGAAAUGCGUAGAUAUCUGGAGGAACACCGGUGGCGAAGGCGGCAUCCUGGACCGGUAUUGACGCUGAGGCG